rnacentral:rRNA from 1 species
UGGGGGAUAUUGCACAAUUGGCGAAAGCCUGAUGCAGCGACGCCGCGUGGGGGAUGAAGGCCUUCGGGUUUUAAACUUUUUUUGCUCUGAACAAGGCAUGCCUUUGGGGUGUGUUGAGUGUAGGGGUUGAUUAGCGCCUGCUAACUACGUGCCAGCAGCCGCGGUAAUACGUAGGGCGCGAGCGUUGUCCGGAAUUAUUGGGCGUAAAGGGCUUGUAGGUGGCUGGUUGCGUCUGUCGUGAAAGCUCAUGGCUUAACUGUGGGUUUGCGUUGGGUACGGGCUGGCUUGAGUGCAGUAGGUGAGGCUGGAAUUCCUGGUGUAGCGGUGGAAUGCGCAGAUAUCAGGAGGAAUACCGGUGGCGAAGGCGGGUCUCUGGGCUGUUACUGACGCUGAGGAGCGAAAGCGUGGGGAGCGAACAGG